GACAUAGGUGGCGAACGUUAUCCGGAAUUACUGGGCGUAAAGGGCGCGUAGGCGGCUUUGUAAGUCGGGGGUGAAAGCCUGUGGCUCAACCACAGAAUUGCCUUCGAUACUGCAUGGCUUGAGACCGGAAGAGGUUAGUGGAACUGCGAGUGUAGAGGUGAAAUUCGUAGAUAUUCGCAAGAACACCAGUGGCGAAGGCGGCUGACUGGUCCGGUUCUGACGCUGAGGCGCGAAAGCGUGGGGAGCAAACAGG
rnacentral:rRNA from 1 species